rnacentral:rRNA from 1 species
ACUCAAGAAAAGAAUUUUAGUCCAACCUAAAGUAACCCGAUAAACUCAAAUAUACCACUUUAGAGCAAUUCAAAUAAGGUACAGCCUAUUUGAAAAAGGAUACAACCUACAACGGAGGGUAACUUACGCACGCCGUAGCCAAGUUGACCUAAAAGCAGCCAUCUUAAAAAAGCGUCAAAGCUUAACUUCACCCCCACCUAAUGCCCCCACCAACACAAAACCCCCACAACACUAUUGAGUACUUCUAUAUUUUUAUAGAAUUUUUUAUGUUAAAACUAGUAACAAGAAAACAUUCUCUUAUAAUGUAAACGUAAAUCAGAACGGAUACCCCACUGAUCACCACACACCCACGAACAGCACCUCACCUAGAAAGUCCUGUUCUAUCAGCUGUUAACCUGACACAAGAACAUUUCAAGAAAGAUUAAACGAAAAAGAAGGAACUCGGCAAACAUUAAUCCCGCCUGUUUACCAAAAACAUCGCCUCUUGACAAAAUAAGAGGUCCAGCCUGCCCAGUGACCCCAGUUAAACGGCCGCGGUACCCUGACCGUGCUAAGGUAGCGUAACCACUUGUCUUUUAAAUAAAGACUCGUAUGAAAGGCAUCACGAGGAUCAAACUGUCUCCUUUUUUCAACCAGUGAAACUAAUCCCCCCGUGAAGAAACGGGAAUUCCACUAUAAGACGAGAAGACCCUGUGGAGCUUAAGGCAAAGUAAUUUUAUCACUUCAAAUGACCCUUUCCGAAGAUUAUACACACAACAUCUUAAUUAUUUAACCUUUAGUUGGGGCGACUGCGGAGUAAAACCAACCCUCCACGCGAACAAUCUCCCACAGAGCCACAACUCUGCACAUCAACACAUUGACAACAAUUGACCCAAUUACUUGAGCAACGAAACAAGUUACCCCAGGGAUAACAGCGCAAUCCAUUUCAAGAGUCCCUAUCGACAAAUGGGUUUACGACCUCGAUGUUGGAUCAGGGUAUCCCAGUGGUGCAGCCGCUACUAAAGGUUCGUUUGUUCAACGAUUAAAACCCUACGUGAUCUGAGU